AGCUCGGGGCAGAGGUCUGUGACCUGCAGGGCAGGAGAACUGAUGUCUGGGACCCCGAUUCUCU
ensembl:miRNA